rnacentral:rRNA from 1 species
UACGAAGGGAGCUAGCGUUGUUCGGAAUCACUGGGCGUAAAGCGCACGUAGGCGGAUGUGUCAGUCAGGGGUGAAAUCCCGGAGCUCAACUUCGGAACUGCCUUUGAUACAGCACGUCUCGAGUCCGGAAGAGGUGGGUGGAAUUCCUAGUGUAGAGGUGAAAUUCGUAGAUAUUAGGAAGAACACCAGUGGCGAAGGCGGCUCACUGGACCGGUAUUGACGCUGAGGUGCGAAAGCGUGGGGAGCAAACAGG